CGCUUUGGAAAUGAAAGUGUGUUGCGUAGCUGGGCGAUACCACUGACAGGAGAAAUGCUCGGCUGACGAGGCACCUGGGGAAGGCUGGUGGAACUGCUUUGUGAGUUCGUGACUGAGAUACUUAGAAGAAGAGGUCACUUCCUUGAAGAAUGAGAUGCACAGAAGCUGAUUUUGACAUAGUCAGUGGUAGCUGGUGACGAGAUCAACUUAGGAAUGGUAUGCAGCCCCUGUGUCACCCGCUCUGCCUGUGGACAGGACCGUCCUGGAGUCCCCAGGGCUGGGAGCCUGAGCUGUGAGACCGUGUUCGCUGCAUUUCUUCGUCUAACAUGAGGCUGCACUGGUGGGUCGUUGCACAGCUGGUGGGAAGGUGGGACGGACUGCCGGGAGCCAGCUGUGCCUCAGCAUCUGCCAUGGCCAAACACACUGCAAUUGUGACCAAUUCUGAAGCUCUGACUGAGAAACAGA